rnacentral:rRNA from 1 species
UACGUAGGGGGCUAGCGUUGUCCGGAUUUAUUGGGCGUAAAGAGCGUGUAGGCGGCCAGGCAAGUCCGUUGUGAAAACUAGAGGCUUAACCUCUAGACGUCGAUGGAAACUGUUUGGCUAGAGUCCGGAAGAGGAGAAUGGAAUUCCUGGUGUAGCGGUGAAAUGCGCAGAUAUCAGGAAGAACACCCGUGGCGAAGGCGGCUCUCUGGGACGUGACUGACGCUGAGACGCGAAAGCGUGGGGAGCGAACAGG